ACGCGAGGAACCUUACCAGGUCUUGACAUCCCAUUGACCGCUAUGGAGACAUAGCUUUCCCUUCGGGGACAGUGGUGACAGGUGGUGCAUGGUUGUCGUCAGCUCGUGUCGUGAGAUGUUGGGUUAAGUCCCGCAACGAGCGCAACCCUUGUUCUUAGUUGCCAUCAUUUAGUUGGGCACUCUAAGGAGACUGCCGGUGACAAACCGGAGGAAGGUGGGGAUGACGUCAAAUCAUCAUGCCCCUUAUGACCUGGGCUACACACGUGCUACAAUGGACGGUACAAACGGUUGCCAACCCGCGAGGGGGAGCUAAUCCGAUAAAACCGUUCUCAGUUCGGAUUGUAGGCUGCAACUCGCCUACAUGAAGCCGGAAUCGCUAGUAAUCGCGGAUCAGCAUGCCGCGGUGAAUACGUUCCCGGGCCUUGCACUCACCGCCCGU
rnacentral:rRNA from 1 species